AUAUAUAUGGAUCUAAACAGAUUUAAGCUUCACAGAUCCGCAGUUCCUAUUCCUUGGCAAACCUCUGCAAGAACUAUUAAGACACAUGAAGUAAAUAUGGAAAUUCAUCUGUAGAAUCUGAAAAAGAAAUUAUGACUGAAGUGACUGUGGCAGCUUUGGAUGAUCCAAGCCCUAGCUCAAAAACCCCAGAUUUGGCCACACCGAGUAUCAAGGAAGAAAAUAUUCAGAAAUUUUGAUGCACUUUCAAUAAUGGACAGUACAUACACCACGAAAAGGGCAAUUAAUAAUAAUCAUUCAUAGAAGGGAGAACAAUCUGAGAAAGAUUGAAACCUUAUGUAGGGAAAAUCCCAAUAUGUAUUUAAAAGCUCUCACAAAUGUGUGUGAAACUAGUGUGGUAUGAAAAAUUGUGAAAUUAAUGAAGUUAGAAAAGAGAAAAGGCAGUGAAAAGAAAAAUAAAUAUAAUUCAACAUUGAAAAAUUUCAAAUUCGUUAAUUUCACAUUUUUUUUCUCUAAGUUCCAUUCAUUUUGUAUUUCAUUUGUAAAAUAAAAUUUACCUAUUGUAUAUAUACAUAUACCUAUAUCUGUUAAUUACUGAAUUGUUUUUUACUAAAAUUGUGAUGGGACUUUUUUUAUGUUUGAAGUUGAAUUAUAGCUAUGAAUCUUA